CAGCCGCCGCGGUAAUACGUAGGUCCCGAGCGUUGUCCGGAUUUAUUGGGCGUAAAGCGAGCGCAGGCGGUUAGGUAAGUCUGAAGUUAAAGGCUGUGGCUUAACCAUAGUACGCUUUGGAAACUGUUUAACUUGAGUGCAAGAGGGGAGAGUGGAAUUCCAUGUGUAGCGGUGAAAUGCGUAGAUAUAUGGAGGAACACCGGUGGCGAAAGCGGCUCUCUGGCUUGUAACUGACGCUGAGGCCCGAAAGCGUGGGGAGCAAACAGGAUUAGAUACCCGCGUAGUCCCUGUCUCUUAUACA
rnacentral:rRNA from 1 species